GUCAGUAAAAGACCUUGACUUCUCUUCUCAAUCUUCUUCUAUUUCCCAACUUCCGAUAAUUAAUUCAAGAGAUCCAUAAUCGAUUAAGUCCCAGAAUCGUCUGUCUUCGUCUCCAUGAUCAAGACCCAUAAUCUUGAGAGAAGGAGCGUUGGUUGGAAACUAAAGUCUGGAGAUCGGUGGUGGGUAUCCUGAUCAUGCAGAUUGAUGAAUUUUGAACAGAAGUAACAGUUGGAGUUUUGAGUUUUUGAUCUUGUUUGGAAGUUUACUUGGAGAGGAUCAGAUUCAAUCUUGUAUUCAAUACAAAGAGUUUGUUGGUGGGUAUUUAAUUGUAUCUUUGUUUCAAGCCUAUUCGAUCAACUGGCAUAGAUUGUUUUCAUUUGAGUUCCAAUGAAUCUGUAUGUAAAAAGGAGUUCUGAGA